GUGAAACUCGCUGAGGACUUCUGUACCAUUGAAGAAUCAGAACAUGGCAGUGGAGCAGAUGGGCACACAGCUCCAGUGCCUCCUGUUAGAGCAGAAAGGAGAGUCAACCUUGUGAAGAUGAUGAAGAUCUUCGGUGUUCUCCUAGUGGCCGGCCUCGUAUCCCUUUCUGUUUACUAUUUCAUAAAAUUAAAUCACAAGGAUCAAGAGCUGGAGGAGUUAAGAAAUCCAAGUUACAUCUUGACCAGUAAGUACAGCGCUCUGUC